GUGAUGGGGUAUAGAUGAUUGAGGUGUAGGUGAUGGGGUGUAGAUGAUUGGGAUAUAGAUGAUCGAGAUGUAGGUGAUGGGGUAUAGAUGAUCAAGGUGUAGGUGAUGGGGUAUAGAUGAUUGAGGUGUAGGUGAUGGGGUAUAGAUGAUCGAGGUGUAGGUGAUGGGGUAUAGAUGAUUGAGGUGUAGGUGAUGGGGUGUAGGUGAUGGGGGUCAAGGUGAUCAAGGUGUUGGUGAUGGGGUGUUGGUGAUCGGGGUGUAAGUGAUGAGGUAUAGGUGGUGGGGUGUAGAUGAUUGGGGUGUAGGUGAUGGGGUGUAGGUGACGGGUAUAGGUGAUGGGGUAUAGAUGAUCAGGGUGUAGGUGAUUGGGGUAUAGGUGAGCAGGGUGUAAGUGAAGGGGUAUAGGUGGUGGGGUAUAGAUGAUCAGGUGUAGGUGACUGGGGUUUGGGUGAUGGGGUGUAGGUGAUGGGGUAUAGAUGAUUGAGGUAUCGGUGAUGGGGGUCAAGGUGAUCAAGGUGUAGGUGAUGGGGUGUUGGUGAUUGGGGUGUAGGUGAUCAGGGUGUAAGUGAUGAGGUAUAGGUGAUGCAGUGUAGGUGAUCAGGGUAUAGGUGAUGAGGUGUAGGUGAUGGAGUGUAGAUGAUUGAGGUGUAGGUGAUGGGGUAUAGGUGAUUGGGGUGUAGGCAAUGGGGUGUAGGUGAUCGGGGUCAAGGUGAUAGAGGUGUAGGUGAUGGGGUGUUGGUGAUUGGGGUGUAGGUGAUCAGGGUGUAGGUGAUCAGGGUGUAGGUGAUCCGAACUUCCUACUCAAUUCAGGCAACAGCUCCCAGCCUGAGGCAAAUACCCCCCGAGGCAGUCAGGGUCUCACCUCCCAUGGCUCUGACGCAGGCCUCCAAGGUGAGGAGAUGGAGGUAGCAGAGGUCACUUCACUCAGCUGUCACACACCCUGAGGGAACUCCUGUCACUGUUAUCCCACCUGCAAGUGAGGAGCCAGCAUUUCUCAUGCUCCAGGGUUGGCCACAGAGCCCAUUCAAGGGAGGGAGAAGAGCCUUCGGCCAGCGCAUCCUAACCGCAGAAAGCCAAGACCUCUGCAGAAAAAGAGACCAGGCCCAUAAAAAGAGAUCCAUGAGUUGAGUUCCCUGCCAUGCCACCCCCAGGCAUCUCUGCCCACCAGCCUGCAUGAGCCAGCCCCUCAGUGCAGGUUUUUCCAAUUGGCCGUUUGUUCUUCCACCCAACACUCAAGAUUUGCUUCUCAGCCUGGACAACAUAGCAAAACCCCAUCUCUACAAAAAAUACAAAAAUUAGCUGGGCAUAGUGGCACACACCUAUAGUCCCAGCUACUCGGGAGGCUGAAGUGGGAAGAUUACCUGAGCCUGGGAGGUCAAGGUUGCAGUGAGCCAUGAUCAUGCCACUGUACUCCAGCCUGGGUGACAGAGUGAGAACUUGUCUCAAAAACAAAAAAAGAGAGGAAGAUCUGCUUCUUCAAACCCACACAACUAAUAUAAAGUAAUCAACCUCCCCACCUCAAUAACCUGAAGUUAAACAUCACACAAUAAGCCCUGAACAGAGAGCUGUAGGUCAAUGUUCCAUUUUGCUUUUAAAAGCUUCACAAGAACAUUUCAUUUAUUAAAAUAGUUUCUGUAAACUCUUUCAGAAUAACAAAAUUCACUUGCCUUGCUUAAACAGCAUUUCAAGUAGAAGUAUUUUUAUUUCAAGGCACCAUAAAAUGAUGAUCUCUCUAAGAAAUACCUCUCCUUC
rnacentral:lncRNA from 1 species